rnacentral:rRNA from 1 species
CGGGGGAAAACAAACCAACAGGGAUUGCCUCAGUAACGGCGAGUGAAGCGGCAAAAGCUCAAAUUUGAAAUCCUCAGGGAAUUGUAAUUUGAAGGGUAACAGAGUUUGAAGGAUUCUUCUUAAGUUCAUUGGAAAAUGGCGCCAUAGAGGGUGAGA